UCGUAAUGGUUAAUGCCCGAUAAAGCCUUUUCAAAAAGUUGUAAUGGUUAAUGUGGUUGUGGAGAUGAGAUUUGCAGUUAUGGUUAAGUGCUUGGAAGAACUUUGUCAUGCCAUCCGAGGUGUCGAUGUUGGAUACGUUGGCGGGCAGAGGGAGGAAGGUUAAAUCCGGAUGGUUAGAAGAAUCGGGCGGAUUGAAGUCGGAGUGAGCGAUGGUUAUUGAGAAGUUUUAGGAGUGAAGGUAAGUAGCAAGUUGAAGCAUUGGGGUCAUGUGACCUUGCAGUGGACUUGCUACCAUCACCAGCCGCG
rnacentral:lncRNA from 1 species